UACGAAGGGGCUAGCGUUGCUCGGAAUUACUGGGCGUAAAGCGCACGUAGGCGGUCUUUUAAGUCGGGGUGAAAUCCUGGAGCUCAACUCCAGAACUGCCUUCGAUACUGGAAGACUCGAGUCCGGGAGAGGUGAGUGGAACUGCGAGUGUAGAGGUGAAAUUCGUAGAUAUUCGCAAGAACACCAGUGGCGAAGGCGGCUCACUGGCCCGGUACUGACGCUGAGGUGCGAAAGCGUGGGGAGCA
rnacentral:rRNA from 1 species